UUGAUUUUUUUAAAAAAAAUUUCCCCGGUUUACAAAGGUAAUCCCAAAUUGUAUUUUGAAAUGAUUAUUAUUUUGCAGUUUCCUUUAAGAUCCUAUUCGUGACCAACAUUGUUCUGUUUAGAUAUUUUUCCAACUAAGAUGUAAAUUAGUUGAAAUUCUAGCUAUGUUUAAGGAGUGCAUGUCUACAAAUUUAGCUUUAUUGAGAAACAUGUUUUGUCUAUGCUACAUAUGAAGAAAAUUGGAAUAAAAAUAACAUAAAAGGAAACCCAGUGAAAAAUAUUAACUGCAUGAAGCUAAAAACAUAUAACUGGAAUGGAUAAUAAGACAUGAUUGAUGGUAUUGAGCUCAAUUGAUGCGGUUGUUCUUGUUGAAUUAUUAAUAGUAAGUCUACAAGUAAGAAGUGAGGAAUCUCUCAAUAACAGCUACAGAAUCUGCCUCUUUAGCCUGUAAAAUUUAAAAUAGACUAAUUUGGAUCGUGUCUCGAAGACUGAAAGAAUAUUCAAUGGCAUAAUGGCAUUCAUAGGUAUCAUCACGAUGAAAGUCAUAUAUGCUUCUCUUUUUACUCCAUUUAUAGGAUGGAGUGGGUGCUAUUUUUGUGAACACUAUCCUCACUGGUAUUCAGUAGCGGAAUUUGGAGGCAAGUUUGUUGUAGGGUGGCGACAACCCCACAAUUAUUUAGUUCAUUUAAGGUUGAUUCAACCAUCCACAAAAUUCACAGACAUGGCGAUUGAAUGGCGGUACAAUAUAAACAUUAUAUCACACAAACCAACGAUUUUGUCAAGAUAUUUAGUUGUUCUUUUGAACUAUGUUAGACUUUCGGAAGACUUCUUUUUAAAUUGGUGAUGCUUACUUUGGAAGAGGCCCCAACUCUAUAUUCCAACAGCAUAAACCACUAAGAGGAAAAUAAUUCCUUACAUACCAAAGAGUUGUCCGAAAGAGAGUUUGCCCCACCAUGACCUCAGCUGCUAGGUAUGAAUAUCUGUAGCAAGCUAACAAGUAUGUUUUUGCUAGCUUUUUGCU